rnacentral:tRNA from 1 species
UCCCUGGUGAUCUAGUGGUUAGGAUUCAGGGCUUUCAGCACUGUGGCCUCGGUUCAAUCCCGGUCUGGGAA